ACGACCGGUACAUAUGCUUGUCCAACUUAGCUGGAAGGUAGCGCUAUCUACAUGUUAGCGUAUUAUAGACGGUUAUUUGGAGCGAACGGUGUACUGGAACAUAAUGCCUGCCCACACCAGGGCUCACAUGUCGGCUGUUUUGAGAAUGCAGUCUGGUUUCACUACUUCGGUAGGGGAGUCGGAUUCUUUCGCCUUACACGUUGGCCUCUGUGAUUGGCGUUGAUAUAGUGUGGUUGUGAAGUAGGUAGUCCACCUGACCCGUCUUGAAACACGGACCAAGGAGUCUAACAUGUGCGCGAGUCAUUGGAUUCUACGAAAUCUAAAGGCGCAGUGAAGGUGAAGAUUCACAGUGGUGAAUUGAGGUGGGAUAUUGAGUUACGUGCUCAAUCGCACCACCGGCCCGUUCCAUUUGUAUCUCAAAGGAGCGGAGCAAGAGCGUACACGUUGGGACCCGAAAGAUGGUGAACUAUGCUUGCGCAGGACGAAGCCAGAGGAAACUCUGGUGGAGGUCCGCAGCGAUUCUGACGUGCAAAUCGAUCGUCAAACGUGAGUAUAGGGGCGAAAGACUUAUCGAACCAUCUAGUAGCUGGUUCCCUUCGAAGUUUCCCUCAGGAUAGCUGGCACUCGGGAAAUUGAAACAGUUUUAUCCGGUAAAGCGAAUGAUUAGAGGUAUUGGGACGAAACUGCUCUCAACCUAUUCUCAAACUUUAAA
rnacentral:rRNA from 1 species